GGAGCCGUGGCUUAAUGGUUGAGCGUCUGACUCCAGAUCUGAAGGUUGCGUGUUCGGUUCACGUGGGUUCAA
rnacentral:tRNA from 1 species